UAAGGGAUAUUGGGUCAAUGGGGGGCGGGAGCCUGAACCAGCCAUGCCGCGUGAGGGAAUGAGGCCCUACGGGUCGUAAACCUCUUUUGCCGGGGGAUAACGGGCGCCACGCGUGGCGCCGUGAAGGUACCCGGAGAAUAAGCAUCGGCUAACUCCGUGCCAGCAGCCGCGGUAAUACGGAGGAUGCGAGCGCUAUCCGGAUUUAUUGGGUUUAAAGGGAGCGCAGGCCGCCGGGCAAGCGUGUUGUGAAAUGCAGUCGCUCAACGUCUGCACUGCAGCGCGAACUGCCCAGCUUGAGUGCGCGCAACGUUGGCGGAAUUCGCCGUGUAGCGGUGAAAUGCUUAGAUAUGGCGAAGAACUCCGAUUGCGAAGGCAGCUGACGGGUGCGUAACUGACGCUCAUGCUCGAAAGUGCGGGUAUCGAACAGGAUUAGAUACCCUGGUAGU
rnacentral:rRNA from 1 species